AUCUCAGUUAGGAUGUAUUGGAGGGUUGUCUUCUCUAUKGGUAGCCSUAGUAAUUCUAGARCUAAUACAUGCCGUCAUUCUGUGUGGAUUAGAUUUUGUCAGCCUAACUUUUAUGCUGAGUCCUAGUCCCUGUGCGUACGCUUAUUUCUAUAAGCGAGGCUCCUUCCACUUUCUGCCCUAUCAGCUGUCGACGGUCGUGUCGUGGACCCCCGUGGCCUUGACGGGUGACGGAGAAUCRGGGUUCGAUUCCGGAGAGGGAGCCUGAGAGACGGCUACCACAUCCARGGAAGGCAGCRGGGGGGCAAAUUACCCACUCCUGAGCCAGGGAGGUAGUGACAAGAACGAACAAGUUCGGACUAUUAC
rnacentral:rRNA from 1 species